UAAUACGGAGGGUGCAAGCGUUAAUCGGAAUUACUGGGCGUAAAGCGUGCGUAGGCGGUUUAUUAAGUCAGAUGUGAAAGCCCCGGGCUCAACCUGGGAACUGCAUUUGAAACUGGUGAACUAGAGUAUGGUAGAGGGGGGUAGAAUUUCUGGUGUAGCGGUGAAAUGCGUAGAUAUCAGAAGGAAUACCAGUGGCGAAGGCGGCCCCCUGGCCCAAUACUGACGCUGAGGCACGAAAGCGUGGGGAGCGAACAGGAUUAGAUACCCUGGUAGUCCACGCCGUAAACGAUGUCAACUAGCCGUUGGGACCUUGAGGUCUCAGUGGUGCAGCUAACGCGUGAAGUUGACCGCCUGGGGAGUACGGCCGCAAGGCUA
rnacentral:rRNA from 1 species